rnacentral:rRNA from 1 species
AAUGAACGUUGGCGGCGUGGAUUAGGCAUGCAAGUCGUGCGAGAAGUUCUCUUAGCUUGCUUUGAGAACGGACAGCGGCGAAAGGGAGAGUAACGCGUGGUUACGUGCCCUCGAGACCGGGAUAGUGUCGGGAAACUGGCAGUAAUACCGGAUAAUAUCUUCGGAUCAAAUGGUGUGAUUCCGCUCGAGGAUCGGACCGCGUACUAUUAGCUUGUUGGUGGGGUAACGGCCUACCAAGGCUGCGAUGGUUACCGGGUGUGAGAGCAUGGCCCGGCUCACUGGGACUGAGACACUGCCCAGACAUCUACGGAUGGCUGCAGUCGAGAAUCUUCGGCAAUGGACGAAAGUCUGACCGAGCGACGCCGCGUGCGGGAUGAAGGCCCUCGGGUUGUAAACCGCUGUCAGUUAGAGGAAAUCCAUAGGGUUCUCUCUAUGGGUUGACCGAUUUUUCAGAGGAAGGACGGGCUAAGUUCGUGCCAGCCGCCGCGGUAA